rnacentral:rRNA from 1 species
GACGAACGCUGGCGGCGUGCCUAAUACAUGCAAGUCGUGCGGACCUUGUUGAAAGCUUGCUUUUAAAAGGUUAGCGGCGGACGGGUGAGUAACACGUGGGCAACCUGCCUGUAAGACUGGGAUAAGGCCGGGAAACCGGGGCUAAUACCAGAUCGUUUUUUCCUCCGCAUGGAGGAAAAAGGAAAGGCGGCUUCGGCUGCCACUUACAGAUGGGCCCGCGGCGCAUUAGCUAGUUGGCGGGGUAAUGGCCCACCAAGGCAACGAUGCGUAGCCGACCUGAGAGGGUGAUCGGCCACAUUGGGACUGAGACACGGCCCAAACUCCUACGGGAGGCAGCAGUAGGGAAUCUUCCGCAAUGGACGAAAGUCUGACGGAGCAACGCCGCGUGAGUGAAGAAGGCCUUCGGGUCGUAAAACUCUGUUGCCGGGGAAGAACAAGUGCCGUUCGAACAGGGCGGCGCCUUGACGGUACCCGGCCAGAAAGCCACGGCUAACUACGUG